CACGUAGGGCGCGAGCGUUGUCCGGAAUUAUUGGGCGUAAAGAGCUCGUAGGCGGCCUGUUGCGUCCGCUGUGAAAGCCCGGGGCUUAACCCCGGGUCUGCAGUGGAUACGGGCAGGCUAGAGGUAGGUAGGGGAGAAUGGAAUUCUGUGUGGAGCGGUGAAAUGCGUUGAUCUACAGAGGAACACCAAAAAAGGCGAAGGCAGUCAACUAUUCUGUUCCUGACAUUGAGGCAUGAAAGCGUGGGGAGCAAACCGG
rnacentral:rRNA from 1 species